rnacentral:lncRNA from 1 species
GUUAGGAGUGAUGUUGUUCAACAACUACCUAAAUAUGCACUUUCUCCUGAGUAGUACAUACUAAAUAGGCACAACUAAUUGAGGGCCCUUCAAUCAACCACAUGAAUAACAUAGUUGAACAAAUAGAAAAAAUACUACGGCAAAUUUAUAUUAACGUAACAAGAAAAUCAUCCUUCAAUAGGUUCCAUCAAAACCCUAGAUUAGGAGUUUAGCUACUCAUACCCAUAAUAACAAUAUCCCAAAUAUUUUGUAUAAUUAAAGUACAAAAUAACCUCCACUUCCAACCAAGAGGUUGUGAGUUCGAGUCACCCCAAGAGCAAGGUGGGGAGUUCUUGGAGGGAAGGAUGCCGAGGGUCUAUUGGAAACAGCCUCUCUACCUCAUGGUAGGGGUAAGGUCUGCGUACACACUACCCUCCCCAGACCCCACUAGUGGGAUUAUACUGGGUUGUUGUUAUUGUUGUUGUAAAGUACAAAGUAAAGAUGAAAGGAUGCAGAAAUCGAUGAUUCUAACUCUCAACGGUUGAUUACACAAGCUAUUCUUGCCUCCAGUUGCAAAAGUCCUCCAAAGUGGCAUUUUUAUAUCUAUUUAUAUGUGUAGGAAAAGACCUAAACGUGUAAACAAAGUUCUAGUCAAACCCGGAGACGAAAUAAGUUUUCAAAACUCGGGCUGUGCACGCCCAGACCUGGCCUCGCGAGGCCUUAACGCCUGGUGGACCUCGCCCCAGGCCUAGCGUCGCCAAGUAUAAAGCCUGGUCAAUCUCUCUUUCUGCCCCGCCUCGCCAAGUCUCUCGCCCGCUACAAGCCUGGCGUCGCCAGGUAUAAGGCCUGAUCUAGGUCUGGCUUCGCCAGGUAUAACGCCUGGCUUCGCCAGCUUUUUCUUUUCAACUGCUCCCGAGUACGCUUUCGACUUUUAAGUAUCCAUUUUGUUCUACUUUCAUCUCCAAUUCACCUACACAUAAAAUUGACUUUAUUACGAGCAAAUAAAGUAUAAUUUAUCAUUAAAGUGUAUAAAAUGCAAGGCGAAUAGUAUGCUAAACCAUGUAUUAUAGCCACACAUCAAGUAAUUUUCAAGCAAGGUAAACACAUUGCAGACACAAAAAUUUGCAUUGCAUUUACGAAAUAAAAAGAAGAAACCGAGCGACAAAAUCUCUUUAUUUUGCAAUAUCAAGCCUUUUCAAAUCUUAUAGAUUAAAACAUUUUACACCAUCCAAUUUCGUUUUACAUCACUAACUCCUCUUAAUUGGUAAAAUGCACUCUUGGUAUCUUCAGCUAUGGAAUAAGCCUCCAUAUUUUGCAAUAUCAAGCCUUUUCAAAUCUGAUAGAUUAAAACAUUUUACACCAUCCAAUUUCGUUUUACAUCACUAACUCCUCUUCCAUAUUCACAAACAAAAAGGAUCUGAUUCAGUAAAUAAUAAAGUGCAAGUAAAAUCAGAACAAGACUUCAUGUUAGAAAGAGAAAGUUUUGAGAAGAAGAGUACAAGAUCGAGAUUUUGGAAACUCAAAUUUAAUACACGGGAGAGGACGAAUCAGUGGGAAAUAUAUUAAAAAUAAUAACAGAGAAAUUUCAUAAUUUUUACCUACUUUGUGACAUCUUGAACUUGGACGGAUUCUUCAAAGAAAAAUCUACCCCGAUCUUCGCAAUUUCUCUUCAAAAUCUGUUUUUGAGAGUGGAAAAGGGGAAGGAAACAUUCUGAUUUGUGAUUAGGAGGAGAUUAUGCUAUAAAAUUUGGUACUAUAGAAGAAUUAAGGAAAGAGAAUAAAAUAGAAAAGGAAAGGAAAGAAAAUAUUAAAUAAGGAAAGUUGGUCGAAAAAUUGAAAGAGGAAAAGGUGUAUUCGCUGGUGGCCGGAAAGGAUUUGACGAGGAGGAAGAUUGGUAAAUUUAUUUGGGGUUGAUUUUGCUGGAAUUUGGGACCCGUUUAAUCAUAGAUUUUGCCAAAAUAAAUUUGGAUUUUAUUUGGCAAAUAUAUGUUUGGCCAUUAAUUUUGCCUACAUUUUGGCAAAAU